CAGUCGCCACGGUAAUACGUAGGGUGCAAGCGUUAAUCGGAAUUACUGGGCGUAAAGCGUGCGCAGGCGGUUCUAUAAGACAGAUGUGAAAUCCCCGGGCUCAACCUGGGAACUGCAUUUGUGACUGUAGAGCUGGAGUGCGGCAGAGGGGGAUGGAAUUCCGCGUGUAGCAGUGAAAUGCGUAGAUAUGCGGAGGAACACCGAUGGCGAAGGCAAUCCCCUGGGCCUGCACUGACGCUCAUGCACGAAAGCGUGGGGAGCAAACAGGAUUAGAUACCCGGGUAGUCCCUGUCUCUUAUAA
rnacentral:rRNA from 1 species